rnacentral:lncRNA from 1 species
UCCCUUGUAUUUGCUGGUUUUUACAGACACAAUUUCUGUAUAGUUUAGGCUCUAUGAACAAUUUCUACUAUGUACAAUGACAACAAAGCAAUAAAAGAAAAGAACUGGGCACCACUAGUGGAUAUGAAAAACAAAGGGUCAUCAGUCAGGUGUGGGCCAGAAACCAACCCUUGUUGACAGGAGUAAAGUUAUUUACCAACUGGGUCUUGGACAUGCCCUGGGCACCAGAAGGCUGGCUGCGUGUCUAGGAAGUGCAGCAGGCCAGGCUCUGCUAUGCCAGUUCCAAGCAGCAGCCAUCUCUUCCAUGAGCCACAGAUGUUCCUUGGUCCUUAUUCAUCUUGCCAUACUCAUGGGAUAUUGAGAGCUGAAACUGAGGACCCCAAAUGACCUCAUUUUCAUUUGAAGUCUCUUACUUCAUAUUUUACCCUGUCAUUCUAAAGAUCUACUACACCAAUCAGUAGCUAUAAAUGCUCACACAUUGCAGGCUGCCAGACCCCAGAGCCAGUCUGAGGCCCUGAUUUUGAUCUCCGUGGUGGUGGCAAUGCUCAGAGAAGGGUCUUUAAGCCCAGACUGUGGCACUGGUUUCAGGCAUGCUGAAUAACCUCCAAGCAGAAUGCUCUCAACAAACAGUGUUACAAGUGGGUUGAGCUACCCAUCUGUAAUAAGACUACAAUGUGUACACAUAAACAAUUUGUAUUACAAAAGUCAACACCCAAACCAACUACAACAAUAACAGAUCAAACCUCUCGAAAUCCAGAAAGGUAUUUUAAAGUGUUUAAAUAUAAUUAUACAAGGAAAAAUAAGCCUUGGCUAAAUAACAAAUUCAAACAACCUUAUUUUCGUAUUUUUAUGACCAAAGAAUUGACCUUUGCUGGCUUUAUUUACUACAUGAACUUCAGUACUUCCCCCUUGAUUUCUAAGAAUAUUAAAGAACUUUAUGAAGUAGAAAAUGUACAAAGAAGGCACUGUUUUGGCACUAGUGAAAAGGACAAUUUCACUCACCCCACCAAAAAUCACACUAAUCACAUGACUUCAUGUUUUCUAAUAAUCCAUCAUGCACACUCUAAAUCCAAUCCUUUGCAGGCCUGUGGAAAUUAUACUUUUGGUGUUGAAUGUUACUUGAUUCCUAUCAGGAGAAAUCAUGGAUAACAACCACUACAAGGGAGGGUGAGCCAGACAGAAUCUCGGGACAAUCUAUCAUGUAUUUUGAAAUCUCAUGAUAUGCCCAAAUUUAAAAGAGAAAAUAAGGCUCAGGUGCUCCCUCUGUUGUCAUUAGCACUGGAGGAUAAUUACUUCUCCUUAUUCUCCCUGUUAAGUGCUCAAAUAAAUUUAGAAAACAAUUCUGUAAAAAACAGGCUCUAAGUCAAAGUGUUUUAUUAAAAACAUUUUUUGAAGAACUACUUGCAAAUACGUAGGACUUAGAAAACAUUUUGGCUAACAUUUAAAAUAAGAGAUAGUUUUAAAAAU